UGUCAGACCACAAUCUGGCCACCCUCCUGCUCUCUCCUGUCUAUCAGAUAGGCACGCAUUUCCUAUCAAAAUGUUUCCAGCAAGCUGAACUCUUCAACAUCAGCUAGGUGAUAGAGUUACAAAAUUCCCACUGAAAAAUAUCCAUCAGCUGAUUGGGAAACCUGUUGUCUUCUGGAUUGUUUCGCGGCUGCCUCCAGAACAUAUCCCCUUCGCUUAUUACGACAGUGGGAAAGAAGUAGCACAGAGGGACGCAGAUGGGGAUUGCCUGUGUAAAGGUGUUAACAGGGCGUCAGGUCCUCCUGGAUCUCCCGGUACGUCUCCCGCACCCGCCGGCAGAAGCGCUUGACCUCGCCGCACAGCGGGCUCCCGAAGGCGGC